rnacentral:rRNA from 1 species
UACGGGGGGGGCAAGCGUUGUUCGGAAUUACUGGGCGUGAAGGGCUCGUAGGCGGCCAACUAAGUCGGACGUGAAAUCCCCAGGCUCAACCUGGGAACUGCGUCUGAUACUGGAUGGCUUGAAUCCGGGAGAGGGAUGCAGAAUUCCAGGUGUAGCGGUGAAAUGCGUAGAUAUCUGGAGGAAUACCGGUGGCGAAGGCGGCAUCCUGGACCGGCAUUGACGCUGAGGAGCGAAAGCCAGGGGAGCAAACGGG